rnacentral:tRNA from 1 species
GCGAGGUUCGCUUAUUGGUAAAGCCCAGUCGAGAUCGGUUGUAUCCAGGUUGUAUGCCAAAGACUGAUAACCAGGUUCGAUUCCUGGACCCCGCACCA